UAUCUUUAAAGUGUUUCAAUCUCUAAAUAUCUAUAAAGCUUCCCUUACAUUUACACUUUAAACUUUUCAAAACUACUGAAAAAUCGGUAUUUCUUCCCUUUCAUAUAUGUGAAAAAUUUAUCUAUAUCUCUAACCCUGUUGAAUACAAGAUGUCUACAGUACGAUGGCCCUACAAACAUCAGUCUCAUAGACCAGAAAAUGAGGAAGAUGAAGAAUGGGAUAAAUAUGGGUCUCAAUCGUCACUUUCUACCGAGGAAGAAGGGGGUGGGUCUAUUGGAAGGACAAGGAGUGGGUCUACUGAGGAAGAAGAUGGUUGUUAUAUUGGAAGGACAAGGGGUCCCACCAAGGCACAAAUGUCUCUGUAGAUGGCUUAGGAAGGAUUAUCUUAGAAUGGGGUAAAAAUAAGUAAGCUUUUUUUGUUGAUUAUUUCCUUUCUUUUCUGCAACAUUUAAUAAUUCUAUGAUAUGUGCAAAUAGAGUACAAUAAAAACCACAUUGUUAAUGAUUUUUUAGUUUUUGUAAUAAUGUUUGUGCUAUAGUUUUUUAAUCUGAAAGGAACUGAAAUGAGUAAAACAUAUUUUCAAUUUGGUACUUAUAUUGGCGAAAAAUAUUCUAUAUUAUUGUUGUUGAUAUGAAUGUAUUCGUAUGCUUGGAGUAAAUUGAAUUUUAUAAAAAUAAGUGUCAACUGAUCAAGAUGGAGCAAAAUUAUCUUAAACAGACAACAUUAAGUCGUUUGGUUUUUAAACCUUUAUUUUGAAGCAUCAGAAUUUUCAACAUCAUGUGACAUUAGUCAGAAUUAAUUGAAUUUAUUAUUGAUAAACUGUAUCCGCAUCACGUGACAUUAGUGCUACGAUGAAGACUUAUCAUGGAGGGCCCUACUCAACCUUUCGUAUAGUACCAAAGGCAACAAGAACGCUCUUCUGGAAACAAUUUGAGGUUUUUUUUUUU
rnacentral:lncRNA from 1 species